UGGUAAAAAUUUUAUCCAUUUGUAUUGUUAAAAAUCGGUAGGACAUGUGACAUGCCAUGUGUACCUUAUGCUAACAUACAAUGACCAGUUUUUAACAGUAAAAAUUGAUAGAAUUUUUAAUA
rfam:Gossypium raimondii Chr12_contig_857, whole genome shotgun sequence.